AAAGCCUGAUCCAGCCAUGCCGCGUGUGUGAAGAAGGCCUUUUGGUUGUAAAGCACUUUAAGCGAGGAGGAGGCUACUUGGAUUAAUACUCUAGGAUAGUGGACGUUACUCGCAGAAUAAGCACCGGCUAACUCUGUGCCAGCAGCCGCGGUAAUACAGAGGGUGCGAGCGUUAAUCGGAUUUACUGGGCGUAAAGCGUGCGCAGGCGGUCUUGUAAGACAGAGGUGAAAUCCCUGGGCUCAACCUAGGAAUGGCCUUUGUGACUGCAAGGCUGGAGUGCGGCAGAGGGGGAUGGAAUUCCGCGUGUAGCAGUGAAAUGCGUAGAUAUGCGGAGGAACACCGAUGGCGAAGGCAAUCCCCUGGGCCUGUACUGACGCUCAUGCACGAAAGCGUGGGGAGCAAACAGGAUUAGAUACCCUGGGAGUCCACACCGUAAACGAUGAAUG
rnacentral:rRNA from 1 species